rnacentral:lncRNA from 1 species
AAAAAGAGACAUCCAAUCUGGUAACCCUUGACAUUGCAUUUACAAACAAAAGUGGAAGGCAAGUGUCUCAGUGGAAGAGUGUUUAUACUGCAAGUGUGAAACCCUGGUUCACUCCCAACAGUGCGUAGUACAAACAACAACAACAACCAAGUGGAAGGUGAAGCUGAAUGAGCGACAGCUACCUAGAGUAGGUCAUGGGUCUUUUAAUCUGCAUAUUAGGUUUUCUGUGUUCGUGUUAAAUGGCUAGUUUAUCGAGAUGAAUAUAGCUGUCAGUCAAGGUCCUCACAUAUUCCCUUAGAGAAACUGCCCCAAGAAGAGACAUCAUAUUCCACAUCCUACUUGCAGUCUCACAUCCCAGAGUACAGAGACACAAAUGUGCUUUGUGGAUCAGUCUCUAGGACUUUGCCUCAAGAAUGGCUGAUUGAGCACAGUGCAGGGGAGCAAAGGGCCGAUCAGGAAGCCCAGUCUUGCUUGCCCUGCUCCCCUUUAGCUCUGCUUCUCCUCUCUGUUAACCUUUCUAACCCAGGAAUGCAGAGCGGCUCCAGCGUGGGGGUUUAGUACCUUGGCAGAAUGACACGGCCCAGGUCAGCUCAUCCAAGAAACAGUGCAAAUUCACAGUUUUGUGAAGCAUUGUUGGAUGGCCUCCAAUUUGCAGUGCUUUUGCUUCAGUCUGCCUACAGCAUGUUUUUGUUGGUUGUUUUUGGUGGUGGUGGUGGUGGUUGGUUGGUUUUUAUUGUUGUUUGUUUAUUUGUUUGUUUUUUCGAGACAGGGUUUCUCUGUGUAGUCCUGGCUGUCCUGGAACUCACUUUGUAGACCAGACUGGCCUCGAACUCAGAAAUCCGCCUGCCUCUGCCUCCCGAGUGCUGGGAUUAAAGGCGUGGCCACCAUGCCCGGCGGUGGUGGUUGUUUAAUCCAUCUCAAUGAUAACUUUCAGGCCAAUAUUUCAUCCACGUUUUAUGUAUAUUCAAAGCUUUUCUGUUAAUGUCAUAUUCUGUUUUACACACACACACACACACACACACACACAAACCCCCCACUGAAUUUUUCUCGAUUUUUGUAGUCACAGCGUAUAGCUAGCACAUAAUAGGUCUUUGACAUAAUGUUUUUGAAUAUUAUUUUCAUACUGUCGCAAAUAAAAACUCAAAAUACCUUCAAAGUCUUGUGCUUGCAAGGACACAAGCCUUCUGUGCAAACAUUAUCAGGCAAAAGCAACUGUUUGGUCAAGGAUCCUCAUAUAAAAAUCACAUUUCUUCACAUCGGAAAUAUUUGUCAGGAAUUCUUGUUUCUGAAAGUGAGACAUAAUUUUCAGCAUUCCUGACAAAAUCUUGCUUGUAAAUCAUACACCUGCCCUACAGAUUCUGUUCUAUACACUACUUAUAGUCUUCAUAGACAAACAUAUUAAUUAUGAACUAGGAAAAGAAUAAAAAACAGUAAGAAAGGUGGAAUUUUUAGACAGUAUUUGCCCAAGAAGACACAGAUGAAAUUUGUAUAAUUUUGGGCCAUUUACUGUUAAUGAUUAUUGUAUUACAAAUAUAGGAAGAUCUCUGACUAUCAUUAUCCUUAUAAAACAUAGUGACUAAAAAUUUGCUAUUACCCAUGGGCCUGUUUUCCUUUUUGACUCUCUGAAGCCAUUUUACUAUGUCCCCAAAUAAUGAUAAAAGUAAUCACAGUGCUCUGUAAGUUAAAUUUCUUGAAUAAACACCAGUCAAUUAGAUAAUUAAGUGCCUCUUCUAGGCACUUGGUUAACUUUUCCUACUUCUUUGUAACUGGGAUACGCACUUAGAUACUGAGGAUACUGGUAAAAUAAGACAGGACUCUUGUCUGUAGGCUUUCAAUUUGUCCUCGAAUUGAUCUUUCUAAAGUCUGUUUAAAAAAUUAGGAGGGAUUUUAAACAAGCAAAAGCAGUUUCUUCUCUGGAGUGAUUUUGGCCAUGUCUCCUUCCACCCCAGCACCCUCCAAAACUAACCAAAUCUGAGUCACCACAAAGCAACUCCAUUUUUAUUUCCGCAACUCGUGUAUAUAUUUUCCUGUCAGCCACAGUUCUGGCUGUUGCUGAUCAAGAGUGGGCCUCACUAGCCCUGCACUCUGCUGCUUCUGCUGCUAGAGGGGCUGCGUUGAACACAGGGGUCUGGUUCGUAGAACAGGAAGAAAUCUCAGGUUUAUUUGGGGAAGGCACAAAUUCAUGACACUUUCAGCAGAAUACAUGAGGUGACAUUGCAGACCCACAGGAGAGGAUGGAUCAGAAGGCUCCAUUUGAAGUUGGUUGAAGUGGGUUGGUGUUACCUUAGGUAUCUUGAUGGAGGUAGGAAGUCAUGGCAUUUGACAGGGAGCACAGCUGUUAUCUCAGCAUUAGUAACAUGCGAAUCUAUGACUCCCACAAGGCUCUGAUAUGUAGAUGAACCACAGCAAACAUUUGUGUUAUGAUACUGACUUCUGAAUAUUUAUUGACAGAUAGGCUAUAGGUUUCCUUUAUUGAGAAUGAAGAAAUAAACUGUCUUUAUCUUUCCUGUCAGUAAGGUUGGGGGAGGGGGCUUUUGCUGGUUUGUAUUUUCACAUUUCAAUAAGCAUAUUUUGAAAUCACUAUUUCCCAUCAUAUACAAUAUCAUAUAAAAUAGGGGACACAUUUCUGUGUCCCUUAGCAAAAGAAAGGUCUCAACUUGAUAGCUUUUAUGCUUAGCUCAACUUUGUAAAUGUUCCACAAAAGAAGGGGGCAGGGAAGGCUGGGCGCUGCACCCUUCUGCCCAGCACGUUCAUUACGCUUUUCAAUAAAAAUAGAACUUAUUUCCCGCCUGUUACCAUCAUGGUAAAAACUUAACAAUGUAGUUCCUUCUCUUUCUUAUAUUGCAAAAGAUAGUUUUAAUUUAGUCUUGCCAUAUUUAUAUAGCUAAGAAUUUACUACAUUUUGGUAGUCUGUUUUGAAACUAAAUACUUGUAUCUGACAGAUGCAGAUAAAGUCUGCCUAUUUCUUACACAGUGGGCUCUGUUUGCUACAGAAAAGAGUGAAACUUUUCCCAGCUUAGCACAUUUGCCAUUGAAAUGGACCUGACAGAGCAGAGGUUCUAACUUUGGCUCCAAUUACUUUUAAUAAUGAUAAGACGUGAGUUCUGUUUGUUUACAUGCUGUUUACAAUGGCAUAAUUUUUAAAAAUAAAUCUAUAUGAGAACUGAGAUAUUUAUUGCAUACUAUUUUAAAGAUGUUUUAAUGUGUUUUCACCUUUGGAAUAUAUUGUUACAUUUCCUUGUACAGAUAAUUUGGGUGGCUUUGUUAAUGUAGCUAAUAAUUUUUAUGACUACUAAGUGACCAGUUUCGGUGCCUUCUCUUGUGGGAUGCAUGACUCUGUAUUUAUUGUAAGGAAGUCACUGAUGUGUGUAUUUUUGUACUGAGAGUAAUGGUUGAUGUUCAUGAUGAUGAGAGACGUCUUUCCCAAAGGGCACUGCCUUCAGAUCGACCUUCUCAAAUAAAAAGACUGCAUUGGAAGGU